rnacentral:rRNA from 1 species
AAGGGAGGAAAAGAAACUAACAAGGAUUCCCCUAGUAACGGCGAGUGAAGCGGGAUGAGCUCAAAUUUAAAAUCUGGCGGCCUCAGGUCGUCCGAGUUGUAGUCUAGAGAAUCGUUUUCCGCGUUGGCCUGUGUACAAGUCCCUUGGAACAGGGCGUCAUAGAGGGUGAGAAUCCCGUCCUUGACACAGAUUACCAAUGCUUUGUGAUGCGAUCUCGAAGAGUCGAGUUGUUUGGGAAUGCAGCUCAAAAUGGGUGGUAAAUUCCAUCUAAAGCUAAAUAUUGGCGAGAGACCGAUAGCGAACAAGUACCGUGAGGGAAAGAUGAAAAGCACUUUGGAAAGAGAGUUAAACAGUACGUGAAAUUGUUAAAAGGGAAACGAUUGAAGUCAGUCAUGCUUUCCGAGACUCAGCCGAUUCUGUCGGUGUACUUCUCGGUUGGCAGGCCAGCAUCAGUUUCGAUCUGUGGAAAAGGUUGGAGGGAACGUGGCAUCUUCGGAUGUGUUAUAGCCCUUCUUCGAAUACAUAGAGCGGGACUGAGGAACGCAGCGCGCCUUUUAUUAGGUUGGCCCUCGGGUACAUACGCGCUUAGGAUGCUGGCAUAAUGGCUUUAAACGACCC